UUUGGUCUUGUGGAUAUAGAGUGUAAUGUAGGACAGGAGGGAAGAGAAGGGUUUGGUCUUGUGGAUAUAGAGUGUAAUGUAGGACAGGAGGGAAGAGAAGGG